UUGAACUGAAGAGUUUGAUCCUGGCUCAGAUUGAACGCUGGCGGCAUGCCUUACACAUGCAAGUCGAACGGCAGCACGGGCUUCGGCCUGGUGGCGAGUGGCGAACGGGUGAGUAAUACAUCGGAACAUGUCCUGUAGUGGGGGAUAGCCCGGCGAAAGCCGGAUUAAUACCGCAUACGAUCCACGGAUGAAAGCGGGGGACCUUCGGGCCUCGCGCUAUAGGGUUGGCCGAUGGCUGAUUAGCUAGUUGGUGGGGUAAAGGCCUACCAAGGCGACGAUCAGUAGCUGGUCUGAGAGGACGACCAGCCACACUGGGACUGAGACACGGCCCAGACUCCUACGGGAGGCAGCAGUGGGGAAUUUUGGACAAUGGGGGCAACCCUGAUCCAGCAAUGCCGCGUGUGUGAAGAAGGCCUUCGGGUUGUAAAGCACUUUUGUCCGGAAAGAAAUCCUUGGCUCUAAUACAGUCGGGGGAUGACGGUACCGGAAGAAUAAGCACCGGCUAACUACGUGCCAGCAGCCGCGGUAAUACGUAGGGUGCGAGCGUUAAUCGGAAUUACUGGGCGUAAAGC
rnacentral:rRNA from 1 species